AUGGGACUCUUGCUUCCCUUUGAAAGAGGCAGACCCCUACUUCAAUUGUCAUCUGACGCCUCUACCCCAGCUGUGGACUCAGACCUCUCACAACCAAAAAAAAGAAAAUCAAAAUCAAACGAAUCCGAAUAUAACCAAUCUAUCGCCUUUGAUGACUCGUUGACAGCCUCCUCAACCCAAGCUUCCAUCUCCUGCUCCAAACAUCGGCGCUUGCCCGCGCCAGUCCAUGAAAGGUGGAUGAAGGUGAGUUUGAGUACGAACUCGAGGAUGCUGGGAACGAUCUCUUUUCGGGGAAUCACUCCCGUCGAGAGGCCCUCUUCCUCCCUUUUUCUGAAUCUGGUAGAGAGGCAAAAGAGAAGUCCAGAGAGACCUUGACUCUUUCAGGGAAAGGAGGGAGAUCGAAUGCGAGAUGGAGUCCCUGCCGAAUGGAAUGGACAUCCUUGGGGACAGCUGUGUAAGACUUAAUUUACCAAAAAAUGGGACGGAAAAACUACUAAAAAGAUCACAAGAAACCCAGCUCAAAGUGAAUGGAGAGAGAACCCCUGCGCCUUGGAAGGAUCUGAAGCUGUUCGGACACUCAUAGACAAGUGA
rnacentral:rRNA from 1 species